rnacentral:lncRNA from 1 species
CUAACAUCCACCAACCCAACUUGUCAUAUUUAUUGUUUGAUUCUCAACAAGUUAGUAGUCACUUUGUUCCACUUGUAAUACAUUGAUAUGUUCAAACCCCUAAUUUAUUAAACUACAAAAUAUAUGUAUAAAUACAUAUAUUAUUAUUAUUACUACGAAGAUAUAUUCACUAAUUAUCUUACUCAUAUAUAUAUAUAUAUAUAUAUUUAUACCAAUAAUUCUUUUAAGUCAAAUUAUCUUAAACAAUUAAUUCCAAAGGUUUGACUUUUAGAAUCCUCAUUUCCAUAACAAUUCUUCAUUUUUAAUACAAUACAGCUUCUUGUUGUGUUUUGUUUUGUUUUGUUUUUUUUUUUUCUUCUUUUCCUUCUUUCCUUCCUGAUACAAUAUGUUGCAUUCACAAUGGCAACAUAUACAAAAUGUCAAUAACAAAAUCAAAAUCAUACAUAUUCUUAGUAAAAUGUAGAUAUAUAUAUAUAUAUAUAUAUUUAUUUAUUUCUUUUUUCUAAGUAGGAGAAUGUUAAAUAGACACAAAUUUUUACUAAAUUGACCCACCCAUUUUAACCGAUAUGAAAAGAAAAAUGAGUUCUAGAUUCAUUUCUCCACUACUAAAUCCAAAACCAAUGAAAACCAACCACAUUCAUCAUUAUUACUAUAUUCUUUAUCAUAGGUAGGUCAAUUUAGUAAACACUUGGGUUUAUUUAACAUUCUCCUUCAUAUCUCUUAAAUAAAACAUCCUAGGGGAUAAAUUAAAGGAGACAAAAAAACAUCACUAAUUGGCUGCACAUCUCAUUGUUCUCAUCAAAAGUGAAGCAAUAACUCAACUUUUGAUCAAGUAGAAAUUAAAAUCUGCAUAAUAUUGUUGUAGAUUGCCGAGAGUAGCACUGCAAGAUUACUAGGCAGGAGCUCAAAAGCUCCCAAUAGUAAUUUCCAAUGAAUAU